GGGAUGAUGAGGAUAGGGUGAGAGGGGAUUUUGGCAAAGACAGACUUGAGAAGGCACCAGGUUUAGUACAUGGUAAUAGUACACGUUCCAGUUUCUCUGGG